ensembl:lncRNA
UACAUAUCAAUGGCUCAAGACUCCGGUUCAUCUGGUGGCCGCAUUAUUACCUUGGGUUAAACUAACAAGACGAGGGCAGCGUGGUGGUUCUGUAGAGGACAGUGUUUGUUGUCAAGACUGCAGGAACCCGUGUUUUCUCAGCGUCGGUGUGUCUGAGUGACGUUCUGGUGCUCUGACAGAAUAAACACAGCGUGUCAGUGCAGAAACACAACCCUGUUCACACAAACCUCUGUUCAGGAAUCAGUGUGAAGUGUUUUACAGUGCGUCUGUGUAUCUGAUCUCAG